rnacentral:rRNA from 1 species
UACGGGGGGGGCAAGCGUUGUUCGGAAUUACUGGGCGUAAAGGGCUCGUAGGCGGCCAACUAAGUCAGACGUGAAAUCCCUCGGCUUAACCGGGGAACUGCGUCUGAUACUGGAUGGCUAGAGGUUGGGAGAGGGAUGCGGAAUUCCAGGUGUAGCGGUGAAAUGCGUGGAUAUCCGGAGGAACACCGGUGGCGAAGGCGGCUUCCUGGACCGACACUGACGCUGAGGCGCGAAAGCUAGGGGAGCAAACGGG